AUGCUAGGCUUCCUUCACACCUGGCUGAAGAGCUGGGAGGAUCAAGGCCCCGUCCCACACCUCACCUCCACCACGAAAUUCGGCGCGCGCAUUCUGGACCACGAACGCGACUACUCUCCGCUGGACUGCCGCCAUGGCCGCGUCCUUCUGGGGGAUGAUGUGAAUCAGAUACCCAUGGCGCUCGUCGUCUGGGACCCCAUGACGGGCCGCCGGAUGGAGCUGGAAGCGCCCGGCCUGGUGGUCGACAGCCACCGGGCCGCCGUGCUCUGCGCUGUGGGCGGCUGCGACCACCGUGCUUGUCACGAGGGUCCCUUCCAGGUGGUCUUUGUUUGCGUGGGCUCGAAAGGAGAUGACGAUGAUGAUUGCGUUGCGUACGCUUGUGUGUCCUUGCCGGAGACCGGUGACUGGAGCAAGCCGUGCCCUCUAUUUGAUCAGUGGGGCGAGCCGUGCCCUGCUCUUCUUCUUCCGGCCGAAACAUUCUUCGAGCCAAUGCCCCCUGUCCUCAUCGAAGAAGCAGCACUUCACUUCAUGCUCGAGGUUGUUGAUGAUGAUAGUGUAGGAAUUCUUAAGUAUGACUUGAGCUCUCAUAGCUUGUCACUGAUUGAUGCACCGAUUGAGGGUUCUCAAAUUGCCACUGCCUCUAUCCUCAUGGCCAUGGAGGAUGGCAGUUUGGGGUUUGCACAUGUCAGUGGGUCAACACUCUGUCCGUGGUCAAGACUGAUGGGUUCCGAUGGAGUUGCUUCAUGGAGUCAACGUACAAUUAUCAAUCUCAGAAACCUCCCCCCCAUCCAAAAUCCCGAGGAAAGCCUUAGACUGGUUGGAUCCGUGGAGGGCCGUGAUGUCAUCUUCGUGACCACAGAGCUGGGCAUCUAUGGGAUUAAUGUUGAGUCGCAGCGAUGGAAGAAGCUAUGGAAGAGAAAGAAAUUACAUGCUCUGAUUCCACACAUGAGUUUCUAUACAAUCCAAAAGAAAGGGGGCCACUCAUCAACAAGAAAGAUGGCAAGCUUGGAGGCGACAAGGGUGUUGUGA
rnacentral:rRNA from 1 species